GACGAACGCUGGCGGCGUGCUUAACACAUGCAAGUCGAACGGUGAAGCGCCUUCCUUUUUGGUGGGUGUGGAUGAGUGGCGAACGGGUGAGUAACACGUGAGUAACCUGCCCCCUUCUUCUGGAUAACCGCAUGAAAGUGUGGCUAAUACGGGAUAUUCUGGGUCUGUCGCAUGAUGGGUCUGGGAAAGAUAUUGUUUCGGUGGGGGAUGGGCUCGCGGCCUAUCAGCUUGUUGGUGGGGUGAUGGCCUACCAAGGCGGUGACGGGUAGCCGGCCUGAGAGGGUGGACGGUCACACUGGGACUGAGACACGGACCAGACUCCUACGGGAGGCAGCAGUGGGGAAUAUUGCACAAUGGGCGCAAGCCUGAUGCAGCGACGCCGCGUGAGGGAUGGAGGCCUGCGGGUUGUGAACCUCUUUCGCCAGUGAAGCAGGCCUGCCUCGUUUGUGGGUGGGUUGACGGUAGCUGGAGAAGAAGCGCCGGCUAACUACGUG
rnacentral:rRNA from 1 species